UACGUAGGGGGCAAGCGUUGUCCGGAAUUAUUGGGCGUAAAGAGCGCGUAGGCGGUCCGGUAAGUCCGCUGUGAAAGUCGGGGGCUCAACCCUCGGAUGCCGGUGGAUACUGUCGGGCUCGAGUGCGGAAGAGGCGAGUGGAAUUCCUGGUGUAGCGGUGAAAUGCGCAGAUAUCAGGAGGAACACCAAUUGCGAAGGCAGCUCGCUGGGACGUUACUGACGCUGAGACGCGAAAGCGUGGGGAGCAAACAGG
rnacentral:rRNA from 1 species